CAGUCGCCGCGGUAAUACAGAGGGUGCGAGCGUUAAUCGGAUUUACUGGGCGUAAAGCGUGCGUAGGCGGCUUCUUAAGUCGGAUGUGAAAUCCCUAAGCUUAACUUAGGAAUUGCAUUCGAUACUGGGAAGCUAGAGUAUGGGAGAGGAUGGUAGAAUUCCAGGUGUAGCGGUGAAAUGCGUAGAGAUCUGGAGGAAUACCGAUGGCGAAGGCAGCCAUCUGGCCUAAUACUGACGCUGAGGUACGAAAGCAUGGGGAGCAAACAGGAUUAGAUACCCCAGUAGUCCCUGUCUCUUAUAC
rnacentral:rRNA from 1 species